GGGGGGGCGGGGGACCUGUUCUCGAGGGUGGGAGGGAACGAGAAAGGGUGGAGAAAAUUUUAUAUAAAUCCUAAGCGCUCCGCGAUAUUAUAUCUCUUGGCUUGGAUCCUUUCCUUCUAUUGUUGGAAAAGGGCUGGAGAUCCGUGAAGCGUCUCGGGUACUCAAAACUCCCACUCUCUUCGUGGAAUUUGGUCUACCUUAGGCAGCCUCUGAGGAGCUCUAGAUUGUAUUUUUUUGAUGUUCUUUGGCUGCUUCCAUCACUGGUGACUCGUUUCAGUCCUUAUGAGCUCGACAGUCUCAACAUCUCGAGAAGUACUCCCACCCAUGAGGCUUGGCACACUGGAAUCACCACCUUCCCAGCAAUCACCAGUUGCAUUUGUUCAACCCCAAGUGAAUAUUACUAAUGAUGAUGAAACUGAGUUGUUGUCUGUGGCGUGGAAUCAGGACUAUGGGUGCUUUGCUGCUGGCACAAGCUCUGGUUUUAGGAUCUAUAAUUGUGAGCCUUUCAAGGAAACCUUUAGAAGGGAAUUGAAGAAUGGGGGCUUUGGAAUAGUUGAAAUGCUGUUUCGGUGCAAUAUUUUAGCUCUUGUUGGUGGUGGAGCCAAUUCACAGUACCCACCAAACAAAGUGAUGAUCUGGGAUGAUCAUCAAAGUCGGUGCAUUGGUGAAUUUUCAUUCAGAUCUGAUGUCAGGGCUGUAAAAUUAAGGCGUGACCGCAUUGUUGUGGUUCUUGAGCGCAAGAUAUAUGUCUACAACUUGUUAGAUCUAAAGCUUCUUCACCAGAUUGAGACUUUAUCAAAUCCAAAGGGGCUCUGCUGCCUUUCUCAUCAUUCAAAUACGUCUGUUCUGGCUUGCCCUGGUCUUCACAGUGGGCAAGUUCGUAUUGAACACUUUGGUCUGAAGGUGACUAAGUUUAUCAGUGCACAUGAUUCUCACAUUGCUUGCUUGACCUUGACUAUGGAUGGGCUUCUUCUUGCAACAGCAAGUGUAAAGGGCACACUAGUAAGGAUAUUUAACACGAUGGAUGGAACCCGCCUGCAAGAGGUUCGGAGGGGAGCAGAUAGAGCUGAAAUAUACAGUAUUGCUCUCUCUCCCAAUGUGCAGUGGUUAGCAGUUUCUAGUGACAAAGGUACUAUUCAUAUAUUCAGUCUUAGAGUUCGAGUAGUAGGAGAAGAUGCAUCGAACCAUCAAACUUUUGGUCAAGGCCCAGGAAUGGUCCAUCAGAACUCUUCAAGUUCUCUUGACGCCCUCAUAUCUCCAAAUACUGGUGCUAACCCUGGCUCGUCAUUGUCCUUUAUGAGAGAAGAAGUCAAACUGUUCCACCGAAUUCAUCUUCUUUUUAAUAGGAUAUCUGAGAUGUGACAGCCAGAUCUUUUGACUAUUUGGGUAUUGCCAAAGUAUUUUAGUUCUGAGUGGUCAUUUGCACAAUUUCACCUACCAGAAGCCACACGCUAUAUUGCUGCAUUUGGAGCUCGUAACACUGUUGUAAUUGUUGGCAUGGAUGGCAGCUUCUACAGGUGCAGCUUUGAUCCUGUGAAUGGAGGAGAGAUGGUGCAGCAGGAAUACAUCCGGUUUCUGAAGGCUGGCAAACACUGACCAAGACCCACUGCCUCAUAAAAUUGUAGAGCAAUCUGAGCCCAAUUCACUGAAUGCAAUUACGAGAUGAAAUUUAUUCUGUAUGCAUGCAUAUCCGUAGAUAUGUGUUGUGGUUUGCUGGAAAGUUUGAUUUUAGCAGCUGAAGUAUGAAUGGCCCAUCGAUUAAUCAUAUUCUAGGUCCAUCUAUUCAUGUUCUAAAUAAUUCAGAUGAUAAGGUUCGCCAUAGUGAUAUCGCAUUGACUGCACCAUCCAGUGUGAUCUGCUGUAAUUACAUCGAGAUUUCAGUCCAAAUUGGAGCGACUAUGAUCA